UACGUAGGCAGCAAGCGUUGUUCGGAAUUACUGGGCGUAAAGAGUGUGUAGGCGGUGCUCUAAGUUCGGUGUGAAAUCUCCUGGCUUAACUGGGAGGGUGCGCCGGAAACUGGAGUGCUCGAGCGUGGGAGAGGAAAGCGGAAUUCCUGGUGUAGCGGUGAAAUGCGUAGAUAUCAGGAGGAACACCAAUUGCGAAGGCAGCUCGCUGGGACGUAACUGACGCUGAGACGCGAAAGCGUGGGGAGCAAACAGG
rnacentral:rRNA from 1 species